UACGUAGGGUGCAAGCGUUGUCCGGAAUUAUUUGGCGUAAAGAGCUCGUAGGCGGUCUGUCGCGUCGGCUGUGAAAACCCGGGGCUCAACCCCGGGCCUGCAGUCGAUACGGGCAGACUAGAGUGUGGUAGGGGAGACUGGAAUUCCUGGUGUAGCGGUGAAAUGCGCAGAUAUCAGGAGGAACACCGGUGGCGAAGGCGGGUCUCUGGGCCAUAACUGACGCUGAGGAGCGAAAGCGUGGGGAGCGAACAGG
rnacentral:rRNA from 1 species